rnacentral:ncRNA from 1 species
CCUGCCAAGCCUCUUCACCAUGCUUAAAUUGGCAGGU